CCCCCGGCCCUCCUCCUCCUCCUCCUCCUCCUCCGCCCCUCCGCAUCCGCAGGGCUGAGCCGAGCUCCUCCCGCCCGGCCCCCUGCCCCGGGGCAGCCGGCCCUUAGCCGGGGCAGGGAGCGCAGCCGUCGAGGAAGGGCAGCUCAGUUGGGUUGGGGAGAGCGGAUUGGGAAGAUCCUGUCCGGCUGUAGUCAGGGGGCCCUGAGCGGGGGACCAGGGGCUCCAGCUGCCCCGGGCCGCAGGUUGUGCUCUUCCCGCUGCUCUCCAGGGUCGGGAACGGGCUCUGGGCAGGGUGCGACAAUCGGGAGGGGGAUGCGGAUAGGUGGGGGGAAUCACGAAUCGGGUGGCCCCCUCCCUGCCCCUGUCAGAAUCAAAGAAGGAAUGGGGUUAUUGACCUAAUCCUGCCUUCUGCCGGUAGUGUGGAUGGAGCUGGGCCCCUGUGAGGGAUGGAUGGAUGGAUGGAUGGACGGACAAUGGUGCAUGCUUACGUAGUAAGGUCAAAAACCCAGCAAAGAACCAGGGAGUUGGCAACUGUCACACGCAAGGCUCAGUGCCCCACUCUGCCUGGUGCUGUGGUGCCAGCAAGUGUGGCUCAGGAGUGCCAUUCUUGGGGAUGGUGGCCAUUCUGCCAUACAUGGCCAGGUCUGGCCCUGGCACAGGCAGAGAGGCCCAACAAGCCUAGACCAGCCACUGCCAGGCUGUGUCACACUCGCUGGGAGAACACUAUUGCCUUCUCAAGGGCACUGGGGUAGCUGCAAGGAAUGAAUGGCUGUGCUGGAGCUGCCCCUCUGCCCCAGCCUUGCACAUCAGUUCCCUGGCCUCUGCUAGGGAACAUGUGGGUUUCAUUGGCUGGUGGCAGUCCCCUCAACACCCAGGGAAAAGGUUUACUGGUAAAUAAACACCUAGGAGUCUCUAUAAAAGAUGGAUGUGGCUGGGACAACUGCCUGGGUUUAUAUACCCAGGUUUUGCUUGUGCACGUGUAACACGUGUACUUGUGUAAAUCUUUACCAGGUACCAGUGUCCCUCAAGAACACUUUGCCCUCACUAUUUGCAGUGCCAGAAUGAAAACACACCAUGGUCUGUCUGGCCCAGCAAACCCUGCCGAGCCUUGUAGAAGUCCUAUCCUCCCAUAUGGGCUCCUUUGUGCCUUGCCACAGAGAACAUGAAAACGUGCUUUGUUCCAGCCUGGGGCUAACCCUGCCAUGUGACAUCGGGGAUUGAGCUGGAGCUUCAGCCACAGACUGGGGUGGCCACCAUCACCCACAACUGUGAUAUUCUUUCAGACAUAACCAAAACCAUCACAUUUCGUGUGUGAGUAAUUUGGAACAGGGAACUUGUGCUCCUCCCUCUCUGCAGUGCUCAUGACAAACAGUGAGUGGGAGUAUUAUAAUUUGAUUCUUCAAAUGAUAAAAAUUCAGUUUUGUGUUGUGCCCUGUCCUUAUGGUUGGUGAACCACCUUUACAGCCCUGGAGUGUCCAUGUUUGUGCAUGGUUGGAAGUCUUCUCAAAAAACAAAAUUUCAGAAUUUGACCCCAGUGGGACUCACUUAUUCACCCAUUUUCUUAAAACACUGCAGUGGUUGAAUGUCUGGUAGAUAGAGCUGAUGAUAUGAUUUUGAUUCAAUAUAUCUUUGAUUAUAUGUC